rnacentral:rRNA from 1 species
CCUACGGGAGGCAGCAGUGGGGAAUAUUGGACAAUGGGCGAAAGCCUGAUCCAGCAAUGCCGCGUGUGUGACGAAGGCCUUAGGGUUGUAAAGCACUUUCACCCGCGAGGAUGAUGACGGUAGCGGGAGAAGAAGCCCCGGCUAACUCCGUGCCAGCAGCCGCGGUAAUACGGAGGGGGCGAGCGUUGUUCGGAAUUACUGGGCGUAAAGGGCGUGUAGGCGGCCUUGUCAGUCAGGCGUGAAAUCCCCGGGCUCAACCUGGGACGUGCGCUUGAUACUGCAGGGCUUGAGAGCGAGAGAGGUAAGCGGAAUUCCCAGUGUAGAGGUGAAAUUCGUAGAUAUUGGGAGGAACACCAGUGGCGAAGGCGGCUUACUGGCUCGUUUCUGACGCUGAGGCGCGAAAGCGUGGGGAGCGAACAGGAUUAGAUACCCUGGUAGUCCACGCCGUAAACGAUGUGUGCCAGACNUCGGGGGUUAGGCCUUCGGUGUCGCAGCUAACGCAUUAAGCACACCGCCUGGGGAGUACGGCCNCAAGGUUAAAACUCAAAUGAAUUGACGG